rnacentral:rRNA from 1 species
UACGUAGGGUGCAAGCGUUAUCCGGAAUUAUUGGGCGUAAAGCGCGUGUAGGCGGUUUUGUAAGUCUGUCGUGAAAUCCCCCGGGCUUAACCUGGGAAUUGCGAUGGAGACUGCAAGGCUAGAAUCUGGCAGAGGGGGGUAGAAUUCCACGUGUAGCAGUGAAAUGCGUAGAGAUGUGGAGGAACACCGAUGGCGAAGGCAGCCCCCUGGGUCAAGAUUGACGCUCAUGCACGAAAGCGUGGGGAGCAAACAGG